UUGAUCACAGGACCCCCUUAAACUCAUAAAUAAAUUAUUGAUGCACCAGACAGCCUGACCCUGACCCAAAGUAAAUUCCCAGGAGUCGUCUUUCCUGGGUUUUGAAUUUGCCGUAACAGGCGUAAACAUUCUAGCAGCAGUUUGGUGAUCAUGUAUGAUACUGCAAACAGGA
rnacentral:snoRNA from 8 species